UGGCUCAGUGGUAGAGCGUUCGACUCAAAUACCAAAGGUCGCGGGUUCGAAUCCCNN
rnacentral:tRNA from 1 species